rnacentral:rRNA from 1 species
UACGUAGGGUGCGAGCGUUGCCCGGAUUUAUUGGGCGUAAAGGGCGCGUAGGCGGUUCGCUAAGUUGGAUGUGAAAACUCUGGGCUCAACCCAGAGCCUGCAUCCAAAAACUGGCGGGCUAGAGUUCUGGAGGGGGGUAGCGGAAUUCCUGGUGUAGCGGUGAAAUGCGUAGAUAUUCGGAAGAACACCAGUGGCGAAGGCGGCUCACUGGACCGGCAUUGACGCUGAGGUGCGAAAGCGUGGGGAGCAAACAGG